GAUGAAGAACGUAGCAAAAUGCGAUAAGUAAUGUGAAUUGCAGAAUUCAGUGAAUCAUCGAAUCUUUGAACGCACAUUGCGCCCCUUGGUAUUCCGGGGGGCAUGCCUGUUCGAGCGUCAUUAUCACCCCUCAAGCUCAGCUUGGUGUUGGGGCCUGCCCGUCACAGGGCAGCCCUUAAAAGCAGUGGCGGUGCCAUCUGGCUCUACGCGUAGUAAUACUUCUCGCGACAGAGACCCGGUGGUGUCCUGCCAGAACCCCCCAUAUUUUUAAUGAUUGACCUCGGAUCAGGUAGGGAUACCCGCUGAACUUAAGCAUAUCAAUAAGCGGAGGA
rnacentral:misc_RNA from 1 species